rnacentral:lncRNA from 1 species
GGUAGAUCUGUUGACAUCGCCAUGGCAACUGUAAACGCUCUCCUCUCUCGAAACUACAGUUUCUCAGCUCCCAAUUAAUUUGGUGAAAAAUGUUCUCUCUGUGUUUCUGUGAUGUUGUCGCUACGUCCCCAGGCAGUGUUGGCUGGUUGUCAGUUUUUAUGAGCCGCGAUAAUGAAAGAAAUGGACACGUCAUUGUCCUCUACUUUGCCCUCAUCCCAGCCGGCCUUCACCGGUCCUGACUUGGCAGCGGCUCGACAUGCCCCGACACGUCCCCAGCCAACCACACUCCCGGUCAACCAGAAAUGGACCUCCCUUGACUUGACUAUAAAUAGGUUAUAGAAGAACAGGAUAUGUUUACAGCCAGUCUCUUGACUGGGUUCCUCUAUCGUUUACAACAUAAAAGACCUCACAUUACACCACUAUACAAUGUAUGCCUCGUUGGUAUGUUGACA